UUAUUUAUUUAAUUUAGAAAAUAAACUUAUUUGGAAUUGUGAAUUAAUUAAGAUUCGAAUUUGAGACCUCAGGUAUCAACCACCAAUCUCUUUGCCACUUGUACUAGAGAUGGUGUUGAGAGAGAGCAUUGCUCAAUAACAGUUUAGAAAAAAAUUUUAGCAGUCCAAUUAAAAUUUGCGUGCUAGCUCAUCAAGAAUAGAAAGUCUAUUAUAUGAUUGUCACACCAUAUCAUCUGUAAUCAGUGAAUAAUAUUUUUUUAAAAUAAAAAAUAUAAUAAAAAUAUUUUUUAAAAAUUAUAAUUAAAUGAGUAAAUUUUAAAAAUAUAUGUUGAUAAGUUAGAAACACCACGU
rnacentral:lncRNA from 1 species